AGGCGGGAGAGGCAAGCGGUACUCAGUGGGUAGGGGUAAAAUCCUCUGAUCCACUGAAGACCACCAGUGGCGAAGGCGGCUUGCCAGAACGCGCUCGACGGUGAGGGAUGAAAGCUGGGGGAGCAAACCGGAUUAGAUACCCGGGUAGUCCCAGCUGUAAACGAUGCAGACUCGGUGAUGCAUUGGCUUGUGGCCAAUGCAGUGCCGCAGGGAAGCCGUUAAGUCUGCCGCCUGGGAAGUACGUACGCAAGUAUGAAACUUAAAGGAAUUGGUGGGGGAGCACCACAAGGGGUGAAGCCUGCGGUUCAAUUGGAGUCAACGCCAGAAAUCUUACCUGGGGCGACAGCAGAAUGAAGGUCAAGCUGAAGACUUUACCAGACAAGCUGAGAGGUGGUGCAUGGCCGUCGCCAGCUCGUGCCGUGAGAUGUCCUGUUAAGUCAGGUAACGAGCGAGACCCCUGCGUCUAGUUGCUACCAUUACUCUCUGGAGUAGUGGAGCGAAUUAGACGGACCGCCACAGUUAAUGUGGAGGAAGGAAGGGGCCACGGCAGGUCAGUAUGCCCCGAAACCCUAGGGCUACACGCGGGCUGCAAUGGUAUUGACAAUGUGUUCCGAAUCCGAAAGGAGGAGGCAAUCAUUAAACAAUAUCUCAGUUAUGACUGAGGGCUGUAACUCGCCCUCACGAAUAUGGAAUCCCUAGUAACCGC
rnacentral:rRNA from 1 species